rnacentral:lncRNA from 1 species
GUGGAAUUCCAACAAGCUGACCACAUAGUGGAAAAGAACGCAUAGCAACUUACUCCAACAACUCGUAGUUUAGCACAGAAUGGACCCUAAAAAAAGACAUUAGAAGACCAGAUGAUACUAGUCACUUAGGAGGAAAACAACAAGUAGAGAAAUGACUCAGAGGGUAGUAGUACUUGGAGCAUGAGUUAUCCAGGUAUAUGUAUUUCCCUGGUUAGUUGGAAUCCCACUCCUAAUGGUGGGAUGGGAUUUCAUGGAAAAGGGUAAAAUAUUAAAUGCUAACUAUGGCUACUCCAAUAUGCAUUUCAAGACAGAGCUUGGUAAUUUUAAUACAACAGACUGGAAAAUGAAAUAUACCUCCCUUCUCUUGACAAAGAGGAGUCAAGAAAAGGAAAAUAAAACAUCUCAGAAGAUCAGAGAUGAAUAAAAUGUUUUUCAUAUACAUGUGCAAUAAUAUUCAAAAUCAGGACCUGGAGGAGAUUGACAUUUAUCCAUUCCAGUACACAGG